rnacentral:rRNA from 1 species
GACGAGCGCUGGCGGCGCGCUUAACACAUGCAAGUCGAACGGAAAGGCCCUGCUUUUGUGGGGUGCUCGAGUGGCGAACGGGUGAGUAACACGUGAGUAACCUGCCCUUGACUUUGGGAUAACUUCAGGAAACUGGGGCUAAUACCGGAUAGGAGCUCCUGCUGCAUGGUGGGGGUUGGAAAGUUUCGGCGGUUGGGGAUGGACUCGCGGCUUAUCAGCUUGUUGGUGGGGUAGUGGCUUACCAAGGCUUUGACGGGUAGCCGGCCUGAGAGGGUGACCGGCCACAUUGGGACUGAGAUACGGCCCAGACUCCUACGGGAGGCAGCAGUGGGGAAUAUUGCACAAUGGGCGGAAGCCUGAUGCAGCAACGCCGCGUGCGGGAUGACGGCCUUCGGGUUGUAAACCGCUUUCGCCUGUGACGAAGCGUGAGUGACGGUAAUGGGUAAAGAAGCACCGGCUAACUACGUG